rnacentral:rRNA from 1 species
AUUGAACGCUGGCGGCAGGCUUAACACAUGCAAGUCGAACGAGUGGCGGACGGGUGAGUAAUGCUUGGGAAUCUGGCUGAUGGAGGGGGAUAACUACGGGAAACUGUGGCUAAUACCGCAUACCAUAGGAUGAGCCCAUGUGGGAUUAGGUAGUUGGUGGGGUAAAGGCUCACCAAGCCGACGAUCUCUAGCUGGUCUGAGAGGAUGACCAGCCACACUGGGACUGAGACACGGCCCAGACUCCUACGGGAGGCAGCAGUGGGGAAUAUUGCGCAAUGGGCGCAACCCUGAUGCAGCCAUGCCGCGUGGAUGAAGAAGGCCUUAGGGUUGUAAAGUUCUUUCAGCGGCGAGGCGUUACCCGCAGAAGAAGCACCGGCUAACUCCGUGCCAGCAGCCGCGGUAAUUC